rnacentral:lncRNA from 10 species
UUCAUUCAUUAUUUCCCAAAGAAGUCGGUAGAAAAUUGAGGUUUCUGAGCAAUUUGCAGAUUAAUAACCACUGGAGAUGUGGGUCCAUAUAACCUCACCAAGCGAAAAAGUGAGACCCUCCCCUCUCUCCUUCUCUUGAAUAAGGACCUACAGAAGAUAUCUUGAGAAGCAAAAAACGAGAAAAGCAGAAACGUUUUCUGUCUGUGGCAGUCAUGGCACCUCUGCUUCACGAAACCCUCAGGAACCAGGUUCCUCCCGUUCCUAACUUGUGGCCUUCAUCCUCAUCCCCUGAGAUGGUGGCACUGUUCCAGGUGGCAGGAUAAAGGAGAAGAAGAAUACGAGGCAAAGGGCAUUCUCCAGCCCUCAAAGAAAGCUUCCUGGAGGGUGCCACAUGCAGCCAACUUUGCUAACGUUCCACUGGCCAGAACUGCGUGGAGACUGGGAAACAUCAUUUUUCUCUUGCUCAUGUACCUAGCUAAAAAUUCUAUCAUGGCAGUCUCUGCCACAGACACGUAACACAAAGAGGAAGUCAUUUUUGACCUCAGAAAAUGCCUGAGAGGUCCUGCUUCUCUAGGCUGCUGCCUCAUUUGGGUCUGCAUCUGGGUUGCCACUUCCCACCAGGAUUCUCAGCAGGUUGGACGCAUAUCAUCAUAAGAGGAUGCGCACGAUGGUGGAAGAUGACAUUGAUUGAGCCUUUACUCUGGUACCUGGCACUGGGCUAAGCUCUCUUAAUGUGUUUAAGAACUGUAUGAGGAGGCCAUUAUUAUUAUCCCCAUUUUACAGAUGAGGAGACUGAGGCAUGGACAGCCCAAGUCACUGACCCAAGGACAUCUGUGGUAGGUGGUAGAGCCCUGCCUGGUUCAGAGGAUAUUGAGGAAUCGGCUCUGAACUGUCAGACUUUCUAGGAAGUUGCCCCAAUUGGGCCUCUGUUUAGAUUAAAACAAA